GGUGUUGUAGCUCAGUGGUAGAGCUCUUGCUUAGCAAGAAUGAGGCAAUGGGCUCGAUCCUUAGCACCA
rnacentral:tRNA from 1 species